rnacentral:rRNA from 1 species
UACGUAGGGUGCAAGCGUUAAUCGGAAUUACUGGGCGUAAAGCGUGCGCAGGCGGUUCGCUAAGACAGAUGUGAAAUCCCCGGGCUUAACCUGGGAACUGCAUUUGUGACUGGCGGGCUAGAGUAUGGCAGAGGGGGGGUAGAAUUCCACGUGUAGCAGUGAAAUGCGUAGAGAUGUGGAGGAAUACCGAUGGCGAAGGCAGCCCCCUGGGCCCAAUACUGACGCUCAUGCACGAAAGCGUGGGGAGCAAACAGG